rnacentral:rRNA from 1 species
CAUACCUCAAACGUUGCCUCGGCGGGCAGCCGGAGCCCAGCUCCGGCGCCCGGAGCCGCCUUCUCGGCGCGCCCCACCCGCCGGCGGACCACUAAACUCUAUUGCAACGACGUCUCUUCUGAGUGGUACAAGCAAAUAAUCAAAACUUUUAACAACGGAUCUCUUGGUUCUGGCAUCGAUGAAGAACGCAGCGAAAUGCGAUAAGUAAUGUGAAUUGCAGAAUUCAGUGAAUCAUCGAAUCUUUGAACGCACAUUGCGCCCGCCAGCAUUCUGGCGGGCAUGCCUGUUCGAGCGUCAUUUCAACCCUCAAGCACCGCUUGGCGUUGGGGCCCUACGGCUUCCGUAGGCCCCGAAAUACAGUGGCGGACCCUCUCGGAGCCUCCUUUGCGUAGUAACAUACCACCUCGCACUGGGAUCCGGAGGGACUCCUGCCGUAAAACCCCCCAAUUUAUCAAG